rnacentral:rRNA from 1 species
GAUGAACGCUGGCGGCGUGCCUAAUACAUGCAAGUCGAGCGGACAGACGCUGAUCUUGCUCCUCUGACGUUUGCGGCGGACGUGUGAGUAACACGUGUAUAACCUCCCUAUCAGACUGGUAUCACUUCGGGAAACCGGCUCUAAUACCGUAUAAUAUCUUGCACCGCAUUGUUCAUUAGUGAAUUACGGUUUUUCUGUCUCUUCUCGCUGGAUCCGCGCCUCAUUAGCUAGUUGUUAAGGUAACGGCUUACCACGGCAACGAUGCGUAACCGAACUGAGAGGGGGAUAGGCGACACUGGAACUGGGACACGGUCAAGACUGCUAAGGGAGGGAGCAGAAGGGAACCGGCCGCAAUGGGCGAAAGAAUGACGGAGCAAGGGCGAGUGAGUGAUGAAGGUCUUCGGAUCGUAAAAAUCUGUUAUUAGGGAAGAACAAAUGUGGAAGUAACUAUGCACGGAGUGACGGUAACGAAUAAGAAAGCAACGGCUAACUACGUG